AGCCCGGUAGUCUAGCGGCCAAACAAGCUGGUCAGAAAACCCGGGGACCUGGGUUCGAAUCCCAGCCGGGCU
rnacentral:tRNA from 1 species